UGGGGUGCCUACCAAUGCGGGUCGAACGGGUUGGCAACAACCAGUGGCGCACGGGUGCGUAACACGUAGGUAAUCAACCCCUUGGUUCGGGAUAACGUUCUGAAAGGAGCGCUAAUACCGGAUUCGUCGUAGAGGAUUUCGGUCUUUUACGAGAAAGACCCGCAAGGGUUGCCGAGGGACGAGCCUGCGGCCCAUCAGCUAGUUGGUGAGGUAAGAGCUCACCAAGGCGAAGACGGGUAGCUGGUCUGAGAGGAUGAUCAGCCACACUGGAACUGAGACACGGUCCAGACUCCUACGGGAGGCAGCAGUGGGGAAUAUUGCGCAAUGGGCGAAAGCCUGACGCAGCCACGCCGCGUGAGCGAUGAAGGCCUUCGGGUCGUAAAGCUCUGUGGGGAGAGACGAAGAAAGCCCGUGAAGAGCGGGCCUUGACGGUAUCUCCUUAGCAAGCACCGGCUUACUCCGUGCCAGCAGCCGCGGUAA
rnacentral:rRNA from 1 species